rnacentral:rRNA from 1 species
GAUGAACGCUGGCGACGUGCCUAAUACAUGCAAGUCGAGCGAACAGACGAGGAGCUUGCUCCUCUGACGUUAGCGGCGGACGGGUGAGUAACACGUGGAUAACCUACCUAUAAGACUGGGAUAACUUCGGGAAACCGGAGCUAAUACCGGAUAAUAUAUUGAACCGCAUGGUUCAAUAGUGAAAGACGGUUUUGCUGUCACUUAUAGAUGGAUCCGCGCCGCAUUAGCUAGUUGGUAAGGUAACGGCUUACCAAGGCAACGAUGCGUAGCCGACCUGAGAGGGUGAUCGGCCACACUGGAACUGAGACACGGUCCAGACUCCUACGGGAGGCAGCAGUAGGGAAUCUUCCGCAAAGGGCGAAAGCUUGACGGAGCAACGCCGCGUGAGUGAUGAAGGUCUUCGGAUCGUAAAACUCUGUUAUUAGGGAAGAACAAAUGUGUAAGUAACUAUGCACGUCUUGACGGUACCUAAUCAGAAAGCCACGGCUAACUACGUG